AUUGAACGCUGGCGGCAGGCCUAACACAUGCAAGUCGAACGAGUGGCGGACGGGUGAGUAAUGUCUGGGAACCUGCCCGAUGGAGGGGGAUAACUACUGGAAACGGUAGCUAAUACCGCAUACCAUCGGAUGUGCCCAGAUGGGAUUAGCUAGUAGGUGGGGUAACGGCUCACCUAGGCGACGAUCCCUAGCUGGUCUGAGAGGAUGACCAGCAACACGGGAACUGAGCAACGGCCAAGACUCCUACGGGAGGCAGCAGUGGGGAAUAUUGCACAAUGGGCGAAAGCCUGAUACAGCCAUGCCGCGUGGAUGAAGAAGGUCUUCGGGUUGUAAAGUACUUUCAGCGAGGAGGCGGUACUCAAAGAGGAAGCAACGGCUAACUACGUGCCAGCAGCCGCGGUAAUAC
rnacentral:rRNA from 1 species